rnacentral:rRNA from 1 species
CGAUUGAAUGGCUCAGUGAGGCGUCCGGACUGGCCCAGAGAGGUGGGCAACUACCACUCAGGGCCGGAAAGUUCUCCAAACUCGGUCAUUUAGAGGAAGUAAAAGUCGUAACAAGGUCUCCGUUGGUGAACCAGCGGAGGGAUCAUUA